GACAGAGGUGCCGAGCGUUAGGCGGAAUCACUGGGCUUAAAGCGUGUGUAGGCGGGUUUGUAAGUACCUUGUGAAAUCCCAACGGCUCAACCGUGGAACUGCUGGGUAUACUGCGAAUCUUGAGCCACUUAGGGGCAACCGGAACAAACGGUGGAGCGGUGAAAAUGCGUAGAUAUCGUUUGGAACGCCAAUGGUGAAAA
rnacentral:rRNA from 1 species